ACUAAACAUGCAGAAGACUAGCUAGCUUAAUUGGUUUCUCAUAUAUGAUUUCUACCAAGUUAGAUUAGUAUCAAACUUGUGUUUCACUUUUACUUAUUGUUAUAUAUGCAUGACAUAUAACACAAGUCACAAGUCGUACAAGUCACAAAACGGAUACAGUUUUAAUGAAACUUAUUGUAGUGCCCUUAAUUACAUACUACAAUUUUGGCUGACGUUAACAGAAACUACUGAAGUAAACUAAGGUCGAUGACUACUGUAUUAACCACCAACGUUAGCUGUCUAGAGAGUGUAAAGCAUAUAGUAAUUACCCUACUUACCACAAUGACUGAUCUUAAUUAGUAGAACUUUCAAAGCUUUCUUCAAUUCUAAGUAGAGGAUGAUAUCUGUACGUUGAGCAAUAAAUUGGAUUACUUCAUCUCAACGUAAAAGAUCAAUUAAUUCAUGUAUCAAGAAUACAAUAAUACACAGGAACUACGUUUGGCUAAGUAGCUAAACUUUUCCUCAUCUCUUCAACGCUCUUGUUCAACAACCCAGAGAAGAAGUCCCAACUGCUUAUCCUACACCCAACCCAAUUCUAACCUGCGCACCUAGCUAGCAGCAUUCCCUUCAAACUCCAGCCGGAGUUGGUGGUUUAACGGAGUAGGAGUGCAACAAGAUUGAUGCGACACCUCAUGGAGGUUGGUGGUCCAGCCGGAGUUGGUGGUCCAGCCGGAGUUGGUGGUUCGACGGGUUGGAUAACCGGUGUGCCGAGGAAGCUUGGGUUUCGCCGGAUCUUGCUUUGGACUCCGAUCUAGUUAUCUGUUGGGUGAGGGGUUUGAAGUGGUGGCAAGGCGGUACUCCUACAGCGGUGGUGGUUUGGCAGUGUAGUCCCACGCUGGUGGUGGAAGCCGGAUCUCUAAGGUGCUGCUCGCCCGUGCCGACGGUGGUCGUCGGCUCUCAAAAGGUUGACUGAGAUCUCGUCGUCGAGUUGAGAGAGAGAGAGAGAGAGAGAGAGAGAGAGAGAGAGAGAGAGAGAGAGAGAGUUGAGCUGUGAUGUGCAUAAUUUGUAAUUUGUUUUUAAUUAAAAGGAUAGUAUAUGAACAAUUGUUUUAGUGAGACUUUUUUAUCAUGAUUGAACAAUUAGUGACCUUUUUAUCAUUUUAUAUCUUCAAAAGUACUAUUUUAUCAUUGGCUCUAAAAUAAAAUCUAACGCACCAAAUUUAGGAAAAUAAAAUAAAGUUAAAAAAGCCUCUGUUUAAAAUAAUAAUAAUAACAAUAAUAAUAAAGCUUGAGAAGUAGUCGUAGUCAAUAUACCACGAUAAAAUCGAAAAUUUCCUUAUACGUACUGUUAAAUCGAUAUCUCACAGUGUCGAUUUCUCACUUUUCUCCGAGGGAAAUAGAACAUGGGUUGCUUAACGCACAAUGUCGUCAUGUAAAGGAAGUCCCGUUUGUAAUAAAUGAUGGGAUGCCCUUUUCUAGAAAUUAGAUACUACAUCUUCAGUGGUCCUCAUAUUCUGCCUCUCCUUAGUUUUUUUAUUUUCUUUCUUAAAAUAUGUGGUCCUACUCCUACUUUGAUUGUCCAUAUAUUUUUGUCGAGGAUGGGGAUGUGAUAGGAGGUCCCCGUACCCCUCUUUCCCAUGUUUUUCUUUCUUUCUUUAUUUUUUCUUUUUCCAAACACUAAAUUAGGAAAGAUCAUCCAAUUGUCCAUUUCCAUUUCGUAUAGUGUUGUAGUCUCUCAUUUAUAAGCAGGAGGUCAUAAGUUUGACUCAU
rnacentral:lncRNA from 1 species